rnacentral:rRNA from 1 species
UACGUAGGGUGCGAGCGUUGUCCGGAAUUAUUGGGCGUAAAGAGCUCGUAGGCGGUUCAGCAAGUCGGGUGUGAAACCUCCAGGCUCAACCUGGAGACGCCACCCGAUACUGCUGUGACUUGAGUCCGGUAGGGGACCACGGAAUUCCUGGUGUAGCGGUGAAAUGCGCAGAUAUCAGGAGGAACACCGGUGGCGAAGGCGGUGGUCUGGGCCGGAACUGACGCUGGAGGAGCGAAAGCGUGGGGAGCGAACAGG